UGCUACGGUGAAUACGUUCCCGGGUCUUGUACUCACCGCCCGUCACACCAUGGGAGUCGAACUCAUUCGAAGCGGGGAUGCUAAAAUAGCUACCUUCCACAGUGGAUUUGGCGACUGGGGUGAAGUCGUAACAAAGUAACCGUAGGAGAACCUGCGGUUGGAUCACCUCCUUUCAAAG
rnacentral:rRNA from 1 species